rnacentral:rRNA from 1 species
AUUGAACGCUGGCGGCAGGCUUAACACAUGCAAGUCGAACGAGUGGCGGACGGGUGAGUAAUGUCUGGGACACUGCUUGAUGGUGGGGGAUAACUACUGGAAACGGUAGCUAAUACCGCAUACCAUCGGAUGUGCCCAGAUGGGAUUAGCUAGUAGGUGGGGUAAAGGCUCACCUAGGCGACGAUCACUAGCUGGUCUGAGAGGAUGACCAGCCACACGGGAACUGAGGCACGGGCCAGACUCCGACGGGAGGCAGCAGUGGGGAAUAUUGCACAAUGGGCGCAAGCCUGAUGCAGCCAUGCCGCGUGUAUGAAGAAGGCCUUCGGGUUGUAAAGUUAUUUCGGUAGCGAGGCGUUAACUACAGAAGAAGCACCGGCUAACUCCGUGCCAGCAGCCGCGGUAAUUC